UGUGGUUUGGGAAUAGGUGCCACUUAAGAAGAUACAAAAAAAAAAAAAGGAUACUCGAUAGAGAAAAUAACCACACAUCUUGGAACAGGGUCAUUUCUGGUCACUGAGAAAUGAUUCCAUUUGGAUCCAGGUUGCCAGGGAAGAAUGAAUGUGCAGCACAUGUGUGCAUAGGACAAGCCCACAUGAGAAAAUGAGGCCUCAUGAUUGAUGCUUCUCAACGAUUCUCUUUGGCCUGAACUGAUGAGAAGUUGGUCUGAGUUUAAGGCACUGAACAGAUCAUCAAACUCUCCACAUAUCACCUCAUCAUGGUCAUCACAGUCUCUCAGCAUGGAAACAACCUGGCUGGCUGCAGGGAUAACCUCCGUGGAAAGUCCCAGGAGGGCUGAGGGAUCUUCUGCGAGGUACUGCCAGCCAGGACCCAGAAGGGUCUCAGCAAAGCUCAGUGGGCUUCGUUCAGCUGGUGCUGGCAUUACCCUCCUUUCCCGAGAGCAAAUGUCUGUGGAGCUGCUUCGAUAGAAGAAACAUUUGCCUUGCUCCCUCGGGCCUCCAUCCCCUCUGAGAUUCCUCAAGAGGAAACCUGGGCUCACUGGACAUUGCUCUGCUGAGCUUCCUCUAAUCUCCUGGCACUGAGUCAGGAGCUUUGUUCAAGGAAAGGAAAAUUACGAUUGUGUGUACAAAUUGAUUCUAACUCUGAAGGAAGCAGUCAUCUAGGACCAUGUGGACUGGACAUCUAGGACCAUCCUGCUCAACCUAACAGUGCAGAGCACCGGGCAAGGGGGAAACCAGGCCGCCCGAAGAAUCUCCUGAGGAACUGGAGCCAUGGUGAUGGGAUCAACAAGCUCCAGAAUGACAGCAGAUAGCAAGAGGCAGGAGAGUGAACUGAAAAGAAGAGGAUCCUACAGCAAGUUGCUGACCCAGCUUACAGCACAGCUGCCCUCUUUCAUAAAAUGGGAAGAAUCAUUUGUGCCUCUCUGUACCAUCGUCCUCAAUGCUCGAAAACAAGUAAGACCCCUCUAUCUUGGAAAAGUCUGACAAAUGUUCCCUAGAGGCUGCUGAGGAAGGGAGCCAUUCCAC